GAUAAUUAAAUUGUAGUUUAUUUGUAUAAUUUGAAUUAUUGUAAUUCCAUUUUUUUAAUCAUCUGUAAUAAAGAUUAAAUUGUAUUAAUCGAAGGCAAUCAGAAAUAGUGUGAUUAUGUCGCGGUGCUAGUUGUUGGAUGGUAUAAAAAAAGAACAUUUUUUUUACCAUUUCAUAUAAACGCAUUCCUAAAAACGCAUAUCUAUGUCAAUAUCAUCAUUAUAAGUAAACUUUAUUACUAACGCUGCAGAUUGAAGCGAAUGUUGAUAGUUCAAACUUAUCCCUGCUUUGAUAACGCUGGUGAUGUGAUUGCAAUGAGUAGGUUGUAUGUUGUAUCAGUAUAUACCAAGCUACGAUUGUGACAAGUACGCUUACGUACCGUAUGCUUUAAUUAUAGUCGGCUUGUUGACAAGAUAUGGGCAACAGUCAGCCGCAUGGUCCACCCAGGCCGCAUGGACCCCCAGGAGGUCCAGGCCCGCAUGGCCCGCCAGGCCCUCACCACCUGCCUCAUCAGCCCCCGCCAGGCCCCCAUGGCCCGGGGCCUCAAGGACCUGGGCAUCAUAGACCAGGGCCCCAUGGACCGUCACACCAUCCGCAUUGAUAAUGACUCGUCAGUUAACAUAUUACCAAUUUUCAUGGCUUUUUAUACGCAGCAGCGAGCUUUGAUUUUCUAUACUUUGCAAGAAUAAAAUAAAUAUGAAUAAAACUA